rnacentral:piRNA from 1 species
UCUUAUCUUUUUUGGAAGCCAUGAUGC